rnacentral:rRNA from 1 species
CCCCGACUCUGGGAUAACUGCUAGAAAUGGUAGCUAAUACCGGAUAUGACGAUUGGCCGCAUGGUUCUGGUGUGGAAAGAAUUUCGGUUGGGGAUGGACUCGCGGCCUAUCAGGUUGUUGGUGAGGUAAUGGCUCACCAAGCCUACGACGGGUAGCCGGCCUGAGAGGGUGACCGCCACACUGGGACUGAGACACGGCCCAACGCAUUAAGUUCCGCCUGGGGAGUACGGCCGCAAGGCUAAAACUCAAAGGAAUUGACGGGGGCCCGCACAAGCGGCGGAGCAUGCGGAUUAAUUCGAUGCAACGCGAAGAACCUUACCAAGGCUUGACAUAUACCGGAAACGUGCAGAGAUGUGCGCCCCGCAAGGUCGGUAUACAGGUGGUGCAUGGUUGUCGUCAG